rnacentral:rRNA from 1 species
AGGGAAUCUUCCACAAUGGACGCAAGUCUGAUGGAGCAACGCCGCGUGAGUGAAGAAGGUUUUCGGACCGUAAAGCUCUGUUGUUGGUGAAGAAGGAUAGAGGUAGUAACUGGCCUUUAUUUGACGGUAAUCAACCAGAAAGUCACGGCUAACUACGUGCCAGCAGCCGCGGUAAUACGUAGGUGGCAAGCGUUGUCCGGAUUUAUUGGGCGUAAAGCGAGCGCAGGCGGAAGAAUAAGUCUGAUGUGAAAGCCCUCGGCUUAACCGAGGAAUUGCAUCGGAAACUGUUUUUCUUGAGUGCAGAAGAGGAGAGUAGAAACUCCAUGUGUAGCGGUGGAAUGCGUAGAUAUAUGGAAGAAUACCAGUGGCGAAGGCGGCUCUCUGGUCUGCAACUGACGCUGAGGCUCGAAAGCAUGGUAGCGAACAGGAUUAGAUACCCUGUAGUCCAUGCCGUAAACGAUGAGUGCUAAGUGUUGGGAGGCUUCCGCCUCUCAGUGCUGCAGCUAACGCAUUAAGCACUCCGCCUGGGGGAGUACGACCGCAAGGUUGAAAC